AUGCCAGUUUCACGCCAAGCAAAUCCACCAGCCUGCGCAGGGCCUCCAGACAAUCCCGCUCACAUGGCCGUUCGCGGUCUGGGGGCUGGACAUCUUGGGGCCGUUCCCUCGAGCGCCAGGGGGCUACCGGUACCUCUACGUUGCCAUCGACAAGUUCACCAAGUGGGCGGAGGUAGAAGCCGUGCGCACCAUUCCAGCUGGAUCGGCCGUCAAGUCCAUCAAGGGAAUCGUGAGCCGGUUUGGGCCCCCAACCGCACCAUCACUGACAACGGCUCGCAAUUCACUAGCAACAUUUUCAAAACAUACUGUGCUAACCUUGGAACGCAGAUAUGCUACGCCUCAGUGGCACACCCACGGAGCAAUGGUCAGGCCGAGCGGGGCAAUGCAGAAGUCCUGAGGGGCCUCAAGACCAGGACCUUCAAGAAGAAGCUCAUGAAAUAG
rnacentral:rRNA from 1 species